UAAUUUCUUGCCUUAAUUAAAAAGUAAAUUAAUUGAGCAUUGGAUUACACUCAUUAAUGAUAAUGCAUUCAAAUAUUUAUUAAAAAAAAUUAUAACCGCCGCCGUUGAUCGCCAGACAGCCAUUCUGGACAUUGCCGGCGGCAAGAUCGACGCCCAUUGUCUUCCUUUCGGCGAUGGACACAGUUCACCUACGUACAUACAUCAAACAUGAAACCAAAGGUUUAAGGUCAUUAGAUUUAUCCCAAAUAAAGAAAAAAAGUUUUACGGUCAUUAGUUUACACAAAACAAAAGAACCAUACUUGAAUAUUCAUAAGCCAAAGAAAAUGGUUGGAAGAAAUUAGUUGAUUUUUUUGCGUUGAACCUUUAAACCCAUCGUAAAAAUACUUGGGUCUAAAGACUAUUUGAGACGAUUUAAAACCGUCCCUGAUGAAUUAUAUUUUUGGGGACGAAUAUCCUAAUAUUCCGGAUUUUGCAACCCAGAAUUGUGUCGCUAAAAGUGUGAAGAACUCAUUCUCCCAGCAUAACAAAGAGAACUGUUCGGUAAAACGCAAAAGAUCACUACGAGGACAAUCUUGAAGAGAGAUAUGAUGAAGUAAGUUAUUAUUGAUGGAAAUCAAUAGAAUGGGAGGCAUCGGAAAGAAAAUAAAAACGAUGAGAUGAAUCAGCUAUAACUCAUUCUUUCUUCUUUCUUUCGGUGUCCACCAUUUCGUCAAAUCCAAACACAUCCUUUGAUCUCAUAGUCCUUUCUCAAACUAAUGAGCGCAAUAGGCUUAUUGAUGAAAAUCAAUGGAAUGGAAGGCAUCGGAAAGAAAAUAAAAAUGAAGAGACGAAUCGGUCGUAAUUCGUUAUUUUGUUUUCUUUCCGAGCCCACCAUUCCGCUGAAUCCCAACACACCAUUUGAUCUAAUAGUUCUUUCUAGAUCUAAUGCAAUAGGCUUAUUGAUGAAAAUCCAAUGGAAUGGAAGGCAUCGGAAAGAAAAUCAAUACAGAGGAAUUAGCACAUAGUACUUAAUUCUUUCAUUUUCUUUCCGAACCCUCCAUUCCGUCGAAUCCUCACUCACGCCUCUGAUCAAUCUCAUAACCCUCUCUAGAUCUUUGUACAAUGGAAU
rnacentral:lncRNA from 1 species